rnacentral:rRNA from 1 species
AUGGGAUUUCAGCUAGGCAUCCACCGUGCAGGGCAUCUUUUUUCCAUUGAUCAUUAUUCUAUUUAUUCUGACCUCCGUACUUCGAUCGAGAUAUUGGACAUAGAAUGCCACUCUUUAAAAAGGAAAAAAGGUGCUUGCUCAGGUAGCAUGACGGGAUGCAGAGGCUUUGAACGGAGCCCUGGUGGGAGGAGAUGA